UACGAAGGGGGCUAGCGUUGUUCGGAAUUACUGGGCGUAAAGCGCGUGUAGGCGGGUCUUUAAGUCAGGGGUGAAAUGCCAGGGCUCAACCUUGGAACUGCCUUUGAUACUGGAGACCUUGAGUCCGGGAGAGGUGAGUGGAAUUGCGAGUGUAGAGGUGAAAUUCGUAGAUACUCGCAAGAACACCAGUGGCGAAGGCGGCUCACUGGCCCGGAACUGACGCUGAGACGCGAAAGCGUGGGGAGCAAACAGG
rnacentral:rRNA from 1 species